rnacentral:tRNA from 1 species
GGGAAUGUAGCUCAGGGGUAGAGUGUUAGCUUACCAUGCUGGAGGCCCUGGGUUCAAUCCCUGGUUAACCCG